rnacentral:rRNA from 1 species
UACAGAGGUCUCAAGCGUUGUUCGGAUUCAUUGGGCGUAAAGGGUGCGUAGGCGGCGCGGUAAGUCGGGUGUGAAAUCUCGGGGCUUAGCUCCGAAACUGCAUUCGAUACUGCCGUGCUUGAGGACUGGAGAGGAGACUGGAAUUUACGGUGUAGCGGUGAAAUGCGUAGAUAUCGUAAGGAAGACCAGUGGCGAAGGCGGGUCUCUGGACAGUUCCUGACGCUGAGGCACGAAGGCCAGGGGAGCAAACGGG